rnacentral:lncRNA from 1 species
GAAGAGGUUUGGAAUGUUACUUUCUUCAAAUAACAAUCUAACACAGCAUGAUGUCGAGCAAGCCAAUCCAUCCCCACAAUUACAUCAAAUGAUGAAAUAUCAAGAAGAACAAAUUCCAUUGUAACUUCAAGACCCCCAAUACAAAGCACACAAGCAUGACACACCCACUGGGUUUCCACCUUACCACCCAUAGGAGUCUCAACACAUAAUGAACAAUGAAGGAGAACAAAUUUUGUCUAGCAUGGAGGCAAAUGAUGUAGAAAUAAAAGAGUGGGUAGCUCCUGGAUCAAAUAAAACAUGUGCCCAAGUGCUAAAACAUAAGAUCAUACCUUCCACCAAGGCAUUUGACUCUGCAUUUUGUGACCUCAUUGCAUAAAAUCUCCCUUGUUGUCCUUACUCUAGCAUCCCUCCAGGAUUCCAUUGUCUAAAGUUUCCUUCCCCUAAAGGUUGCCUUCCUUGGAUUCGUGGGUUCAUCUGCUGAAACUGUCGUUGUUGAGAUGGCUGGUAUGCAAGUCGUUGAAAUUUUGGGCAAUCCCUCCUAAGAUGUCCCACCUCACCACAUUCAUAACAUCUCCUUGGUCCCUUAGCCCAAUCUGUAGUCCCACUAUAUUCAUUCUUGUUUUCUGGGUUGUUGUUGGGGAUGAGUCACUUUCUGGCACUUGAAAUCUCGUUCCCAUUUUUGUGAACCACAAAACCUAGAAUUUAUGCUUCUCACCUUUUGAGCUUCCUCCAUUUCCCUUUCUAUAACAAGAGCCCUUGCCACAACCUCACUAUAAGUACGGAGCAUGAAGAGAGCGACCUGUGCUCUAAUGUUCAAUCUCAACCCCUCUUGGAAUUGUUGAACUCAUAUUUGUUCAUUUGCCACCACAUUCAAAGCAUAUCUAGAUAGUUGUGUAAACUUUGCAGCAUAUUCAGUCACUGUCAUGUUCCUUUGAACCAAGUGUAUAAAUUCAGCUCUUUUUUAUCUUCUAACGGUCUCUGGAAAGUAAUUAGAUAAAAGCAGCUCCUCAAAUCGCAUCCAAACCAUCUGAGUGGUCUUGAUCAUAUCCCACCAGUUGUCUCCUUCAUCCCUCAACAUGAAGGAAGCUAAAGAAACUCUCCUUUCCUCAAGCAUUGCCAUUACAUCCAGUAUUUUCUUUAUUUCUUUCAUCCAAUUCUCAACUUCAAGAAAAUUAGGCCCACCCCGAAAGAUUGGAGGAGUCAGUGCUUUAAAUUCCCCAAUUAGGCUCAGUUAUGAAAUUCUGAACCAGCAACCGGAUAUAUUGUAGCUUUUCCCUCAGUUACAUUACUAUGAGAUAUUGGAGAUGAUCUAGUUGUUCGUCUGGGCUUUGUAGUUAGUUUGUUCCUUGCUCUACGCAUUUUGUCUUAGAGAGGUAUAUAAGGAUUAGAUUAUCAACACAUCACCUUAUAAGGGCUAUUCAUUAUAUCAAGCAGCCUUAAACAAUACAAUCAAACAACUAACAGGCAUAGUAAUGGAUUCUCAAUGAUCAAGAAUUCAAACAGGCAACAUGAUCACAAUUAUCAUAGCUAGGCAUAUUCACACCACUACAACAAUGAAUGUCAUCAACACAACAAAAACACGAACCUAAUAGUCAUCAUUUAACCUUUCACUUAAUAUCAAUAUAUCAUAGACAAUAAAACAAAGUCACAAUAAUAAUGACUCCAGUGCACCUGUUGGGCUCCCCACCUAUUGUCCACAAUAAGGAUCUAAUCCCUUAUGCUCUGAUACCAAGCUAUCACACCUCGGUUUUUUUGUUAUUCUUCAAACUAAAACCCAGGGGCAGGACCAACCCCAUAUACCCACAUCGGAGUGUCUUCCUUGAGGGGUUUAGGGACUUUCACCCAAGGAACCACAGUCCCACAUAAACAAUAUAUCAAAAGAUAAUGCAUGUAGCACCACAUAGACACUUCCCACCAACCAAUUCUCUUAAUAUCAUCUGUGAUUAUUCCAUAUCCUUCUUUCCAUGCAACCAUACCAUAGACCAUUUCCACAACAUAGAACCAUGAAUCUCUACACCAAUAUGCGUUCCAAUCUCAAUGUAACAUUUCAACACGAUAAACCGAGAAGCAAUGACACAUUAAAAAGUUCAAUGAAAUCAUAGAAAUGACAUGAAAUUUCCAAUAAAUGUUUCAAGGAAAGAAAUCAGAUACACUAUGGGAUAGCAUAAAAUUCCCUACCUUACACCAACUUCCUUUUUGUGUUUCUUCUAAGUGGGCAAUCUUUGCCUAUUCCAAGGAACUGAAAUGAAAUAAUAAAAUUUAGGUUUCCUAACCAUGAAAAUUUAUACAGUUUAUUGUUGCUAAUUUUUAAUUCUCAUAUUCUCUAAUCUAUAUACCUAGAGGUUUUCAAAUCAAAUUUGUAUUGAAUUAAACAAUAUUUACAAUGCAUAUUAAUUUCCCUAAUUAAUUACCAAACACUAAUUGUUUUGAUUUUAUUAAAGCCUAACCCAUUAACAAAUCCCAAGUGUCCAAAUAACCUAAUUAAUCACAUGUUUACUAAUCUAUUUUUCAAUCAAACCAAAUUAAACGAAGAUUUAUGCUUAUCUACUAAUAAAAUACUUAAGUUAUAAUACUUUAAUCCAGAUAUAUUGUAACUUCAAGAUCCCCAAUAUGAAGUACACAAGCAUUACACAUGUCACACCCCAAUUUUUUUUUCUUAUGAUUAUUAUUUAUUCUUCAACUAAAGAAUUGAUACUCAAAUAUAGUAUAAGUGCUCUCAAAAAUUUAAAUGUUGAGUUCCUACUUGAAUUUGUUCAAAAAGAGGAUAUGGAAAACCUGUUAUAAAGAGUACAUCCUGUAUUAAACAUUGUGACUAUUAAGUUAACAAAAUAUGUUUUGUUUCACAAAAGAAACUUGUACAACAUUCAUUUACAUAUACCAAACCCCAUUGUUUACUACGGGUAGCCCAUACUACAAGUGUAUCUGACAAAUAUAUACAUUACAUCAUUCCAACAAAAGGUUUAGGUGGCGUUUGUUUUUUUUACUUUUUGCUAAAACUCAUUUAGUUUUAGAAUUUAGGUUAUUUGUUUUUUUUACUUUUUCAUGACUUAUUAUAAACUUUUUACUAAAUAGAAAAAGCCAAAAUAUGUGGCUUUUUCUAAAUAGAAAAAAUAACACAAUGAUUUUUUUUACUUUUUAAUACUUAAUAGAAAUAAAAUACUACAAAAACAAACAACCUAAUAUUUAAUACUAUUAAGUAUUAAGGUUCUAUUUAGAAUUAAGUAAAAAAACAAACACCACCUUAGUCUUGAUACAAAAGGCAUGGCCUCAAAAGACUUUCAAUAUGAGCAAACAGCAUCCAAUCACAGUAAAGCAUUGCUCAAGCAUUCUUUCCUGCAUAGGUCUUCUGACCUGCAUCUAUAGGUGGAAGGAAUAGGGUGAGUUCACAACUCAGUAGGAAAGUUUAUAACCAUCCUAAGUAUACCCUUAAAAACCUUGAAUUAAACAUUUAAUAACAUGCAGGAUAAACAUUUCAUAACCAUUAACAAAUGUGUAAUCAUGUCAAACAUGUAUGCAUGUGUUUGUUGGUUUCAUCAUUGCCUUUCCCAAUCCAUCCUUUCACAACUGAUAAUUUGCUGACUCCCAACAAUCUACACAGCAGAUAUCAAUGCUCCACACGAUACUCGAUCAAUAUAAUAAUGACUAUUCUGGGACAUCACCCAAGGGCAAGUCAUACCUCGUGUCUUUUGGGACUCAUACCCAAGGGCAGGACCAACCCCAUACACCCACAUCGGAGUGUCUUCCUCGAGGGCUUUAGGGACUUUCACCCAAGGACCCACGGUCCCACAUAAACAAUAUAUCAAAUGAUAAGGCCUGUAGCAUCACAUAAGCACUUCGCCACCAAUAAAUUCUCUGAAUAUGAUCUGUGAUAAUUCCAUAUCCUUCUUGCAAUGCAAUCACACCAUAAACCAUUUCGACAACACAAAACCACGAAUCUUCAUACCAAUAUACGUUCCAACAUCAUGGUAACAUUUCAAUGCAAUAAACCGAGAUGCAAUGACACUUUAAAAGAUUUUAUGAAAUCAUAGAAACAACAUAAAAUUCCAACAAAUAAUUCAAGGAAAGAAAUCAGAUACACCAUAGAAUAGCAUAAAAUUCCCUACCUUACACCGACUUCCUUUUUGUGUUUCUUCUAAGUAGGCGAUCUUUGCCUAUUACGAGGAACAUAAAUGAAACAACAUAAUUUAGGUUUCCUAACCAUGAAAAUUUAUAUAGUUUAUUGUUGCAAAUUUUUAAUUCUCACAUUUUCUAAUCUAUAUCCUACAUGUUUUCAGAUCAAAUUUGAAUUGAAUUAAACAAUAUUUACAAUGCAUAUUAAUUUCCCUAAUUAAUUACCAAACACUAAUUCUUUUGAUUUUCUAAAAGCCUAACCUAUUAUCAAAUCCCAAGUGUCCAAAUAACCCAAUUCAUCACAUGUUUACUAAUCUAUUUUUCAAUCAAACCAAAUUAAACAAAGAUUUAAGCUGAACUUACCAUUAAUAAAAUACUUAACUUAAAAAUACUUUAAUCUUUAAUUAAUUGUGAUUUUUAACUAAAACAGGUUUAUAGCUAAUUAUACUCAACUUUUACACAAUUUUUACCGUUGAUUCUAUUCAACAUACCAUUAGGAACCAAAAUAAACGAAAAUUACAAAAUUAAACAACUUGCUUACCUCAAAUCUACACUUUCUCUCUCUAGAUUCUCUCUCUAACCCAAGUUGCUGCAGGUGAAAUGGUGCAAAACGAGCUGCAGCCCCCUUAUAAAGGGGUCUCCAAGCACCCAAGCAUGAGGUGGCAGCCCACAUGGCUGCCACCAAUCACCCAAGUAAGAGGUGGCAUUCCACUAACUCAAAUUUCCAAAUUUUGCACUUUAGUCCUUCAAAUUAUCAAAAAUAAAACCCAUAAUUGCCCAUUAGUCCUUUAGGUUUUCAUAACCCUAAUUAGUCCCUAUGAACCUAAUAAGCAUGCUUAGGUCAUUAACUAAUCCCACUUAACCAUAAUCAAAGUUUAAUUCAUAAUUAAAUAUGAUUAGCACUAAACUAGUUUUAACAUCUAAUUAAGCAAGCUUAAAGUUAAGUACUAAAAUAAUCAUUAUUGCNNNNNNNNNNNNNNNNNNNNNNNNNNNNNNNNNNNNNNNNNNNNNNNNNNNNNNNNNNNNNNNNNNNNNNNNNNNNNNNNNNNNNNNNNNNNNNNNNNNNNNNNUGAUUUUUACUAAAAACAGGUUUAUAGCUAAUUAUACUCAACUUUUACACAAUUUUUACCGUUGAUUCUAUUCAACAUACCAUUAGGAACCAAAAUAAACGAAAAUUACAAAAUUAAACAACUUGCUUACCUCAAAUCUACACUUUCUCUCUCUAGAUUCUCUCUCUAACCCAAGUUGCUGCAGGUGAAAUGGUGCAAAACGAGCUGCAGCCCCCUUAUAAAGGGGUCUCCAAGCACCCAAGCAUGAGGUGGCAGCCCACAUGGCUGCCACCAAUCACCCAAGUAAGAGGUGGCAUUCCACUAACUCAAAUUUCCAAAUUUUGCACUUUAGUCCUUCAAAUUAUCAAAAAUAAAACCCAUAAUUGCCCAUUAGUCCUUUAGGUUUUCAUAACCCUAAUUAGUCCCUAUGAACCUAAUAAGCAUGCUUAGGUCAUUAACUAAUCCCACUUAACCAUAAUCAAAGUUUAAUUCAUAAUUAAAUAUGAUUAGCACUAAACUAGUUUUAACAUCUAAUUAAGCAAGCUUAAAGUUAAGUACUAAAAUAAUCAUUAUUGCCUAUUUUAUUCAUUAGUACUAGGUGUUACAACACACCCACUCGGUUUCCACCUUACCACCCUACAGGAGUCUCAACACAAUGAAUAAUGAUGGGGAACAAAUUCUAUGUCUAGCAUGGAGGCACAUGACGCAGAAAUAAAAGAGUGAGUAGCUCAAAGAUCAAAUAAAACAUGUGCUUACAAAAUUAAACAACUUGCUUACCUCAAAUCUACACUUUCUCUCUCUAGAUUCUCUCUCUAACCCAAGUUGCUGCAGGUGAAAUGGUGCAAAACGAGCUGCAGCCCCCUUAUAAAGGGGUCUCCAAGCACCCAAGCAUGAGGUGGCAGCCCACAUGGCUGCCACCAAUCACCCAAGUAAGAGGUGGCAUUCCACUAACUCAAAUUUCCAAAUUUUGCACUUUAGUCCUUCAAAUUAUCAAAAAUAAAACCCAUAAUUGCCCAUUAGUCCUUUAGGUUUUCAUAACCCUAAUUAGUCCCUAUGAACCUAAUAAGCAUGCUUAGGUCAUUAACUAAUCCCACUUAACCAUAAUCAAAGUUUAAUUCAUAAUUAAAUAUGAUUAGCACUAAACUAGUUUUAACAUCUAAUUAAGCAAGCUUAAAGUUAAGUACUAAAAUAAUCAUUAUUGCCUAUUUUAUUCAUUAGUACUAGGUGUUACAACACACCCACUCGGUUUCCACCUUACCACCCUACAGGAGUCUCAACACAAUGAAUAAUGAUGGGGAACAAAUUCUAUGUCUAGCAUGGAGGCACAUGACGCAGAAAUAAAAGAGUGAGUAGCUCAAAGAUCAAAUAAAACAUGUGCUUACAAAAUUAAACAACUUGCUUACCUCAAAUCUACACUUUCUCUCUCUAGAUUCUCUCUCUAACCCAAGUUGCUGCAGGUGAAAUGGUGCAAAACGAGCUGCAGCCCCCUUAUAAAGGGGUCUCCAAGCACCCAGCAUGAGGUGGCAGCCCACAUGGCUGCCACCAAUCACCCAAGUAAGAAGUGGCAUUCCACUAACUCAAAUUUCCAAAUUUGCACUUUAGUCCUUCAAAUUAUCAAAAAUAAAACCAUAAUUGCCCAUUAGUCCUUUAAGUUUUCAUAAACCCUAAUUAGUCCCUAUGAACCUAAUAAGCAUGCUAGUCAUUAACUAUCCCACCUUAACCAUAAUCAAANNNNNNNNNNNNNNNNNNNNNNNNNNNNNNNNNNNNNNNNNNNNNNNNNNNNNNNNNNNNNNNNNNNNNNNNNNNNNNNNNNNNNNNNNNNNNNNNNNNNAAAUCUACAUUUUCUCUCUCUAGAUUCUCUCUCUAACCCAAGUUGCUGCAGGUGAAAUGGUGCAAAACGAGCUGCAGCCCCCUUAUAAAGGGGUCUCCAAGCACCCAAGCAUGAGGUGGCAGCCCACAUGGCUGCCACCAAUCACCCAAGUAAGAGGUGGCAUUCCACUAACUCAAAUUUCCAAAUUUUGCACUUUAGUCCUUCAAAUUAUCAAAAAUAAAACCCAUAAUUGCCCAUUAGUCCUUUAGGUUUUCAUAACCCUAAUUAGUCCCUAUGAACCUAAUAAGCAUGCUUAGGUCAUUAACUAAUCCCACUUAACCAUAAUCAAAGUUUAAUUCAUAAUUAAAUAUGAUUAGCACUAAACUAGUUUUAACAUCUAAUUAAGCAAGCUUAAAGUUAAGUACUAAAAUAAUCAUUAUUGCCUAUUUUAUUCAUUAGUACUAGGUGUUACAACACACCCACUCGGUUUCCACCUUACCACCCUACAGGAGUCUCAACACAAUGAAUAAUGAUGGGGAACAAAUUCUAUGUCUAGCAUGGAGGCACAUGACGCAGAAAUAAAAGAGUGAGUAGCUCAAAGAUCAAAUAAAACAUGUGCUUACAAAAUUAAACAACUUGCUUACCUCAAAUCUACACUUUCUCUCUCUAGAUUCUCUCUCUAACCCAAGUUGCUGCAGGUGAAAUGGUGCAAAACGAGCUGCAGCCCCCUUAUAAAGGGGUCUCCAAGCACCCAAGCAUGAGGUGGCAGCCCACAUGGCUGCCACCAAUCACCCAAGUAAGAGGUGGCAUUCCACUAACUCAAAUUUCCAAAUUUUGCACUUUAGUCCUUCAAAUUAUCAAAAAUAAAACCCAUAAUUGCCCAUUAGUCCUUUAGGUUUUCAUAACCCUAAUUAGUCCCUAUGAACCUAAUAAGCAUGCUUAGGUCAUUAACUAAUCCCACUUAACCAUAAUCAAAGUUUAAUUCAUAAUUAAAUAUGAUUAGCACUAAACUAGUUUUAACAUCUAAUUAAGCAAGCUUAAAGUUAAGUACUAAAAUAAUCAUUAUUGCCUAUUUUAUUCAUUAGUACUAGGUGUUACAACACACCCACUCGGUUUCCACCUUACCACCCUACAGGAGUCUCAACACAAUGAAUAAUGAUGGGGAACAAAUUCUAUGUCUAGCAUGGAGGCACAUGACGCAGAAAUAAAAGAGUGAGUAGCUCAAAGAUCAAAUAAAACAUGUGCCCAAGUGCUAAAACAUAAGAUCAUACCUUCCACUAAGGCAUUUGACUCUGCAUUUUGUGACCCUAAUGCAUAAAAUCUCCCUUGUUGUCCUUGCUCAGGCUUCCCUUGUCUAAAGUUGUAACAACUAGUACCAAUGAAUUAAAUAGGCAAGAAUGAUUAUCUUAGUACGUAACUUUAAGCAUGAUUAAUUAGAUGUUAAAACUAGUUUAGUGCUAAUUUUGUUUAAUUAUAAAUUAAACUUUGAUUAAGGUUAAGUGGGAUUGGCUAAUGACUUAAGCAUGCUUAUUAGGUUCUUAGGGGCUGAUUAGGGUUAUGAAAACCUAAAGGACUAAUUGGAAAUUAUGGGUUUUAUUUUUCAUAACUUGAAGGACUAAAGUGCAAAAUUGGGAAAUUGGAGUUAGUGGAAUGCCAGCUCCUACAGGCCACCUUGUGCUUGGCUACUUGGAGACCCCUUUAAAAGGGGCUACAGCUCGUUUUGCACCAGUUCACCUACAGCAACUUGGGUUAGAGAGAGGAUCUAGAGAGAGAAAUUGUAGAUUUUAGGUAAGCAAGUUGUUUAUUUUUAUAAUUUUUUUAUUUUGGUUCCUAAUGGUAUGCUGAAAAGAAUUAACGGUAAAAUUUGUGUAAAAGUUUAGUGUAAUUAGAUAUAACCACGUUUUAGUUAUAAAAAAAUCGCAAUUAAUUAAAGUUUAAAGUAUUUUAUUAAUGGUAAGAUCAAAAUGAAUCUUUUUUUAAUUUUGUUUGAUUGAAAAAUAGAUUAGUAAACAUGUGAUUAAUUAGGUUAUUUGGAUAGUUGGGAUUUGUUAAUAGGUUAGGCUUUAAGAAAAUCAAAAGAAUUAUUGUUUGGUAAUUAAUUGGGGAAUAUGAUAAUUUAAAAAAAAAUAAUAACAAUAAGUUGUUAAAAAUAAGUAAGAAAGGAAAAUUUCAUAAGAUUUAAGAGAAUAAAUUUUAAUGGUUAGGAAAACCUAAAUUAUGUUGUUUCAUUUCAAUUCCUCGUAAUAGAAGAUCGCCUAUAUAGAAGAAAAACAAAAAGGAAACCGGUGUAAGGUAGGGAAUGUUAUACUAUCCAAGGGUGUAUCAAAUUUCAUGCCACUUCUAUGAUUUCAUAAAAUGUUUUAAUGUGUCAUUGCAUCUCGAUUUAUUGUGUUGAAAUGUUACAUUGAAAUUGGAACACAUAUUUGUAUGAAGAUUCAUGGUUCAUGGUGUGGUUGCAUUGACAAAAGGAUAUGGAAUAAUCAUAGAUGAUAUUCAGAGAAUUGAUUGAUGGGAAGUAUUUAUGUGAUGCUACAAGCAUUAUAUUAUGAUAUAUUAUUUAUGUGGGACCGUGGGUCCUUGGCCAAAAGUCCCUAAUGCCCUCGAGGAAGACACUCCCAUGUGGGUGUAUGGGGUUAGUCUUGUUCUUGGGUUUUAGUCCCUAAUGACAUGGGGUUAGUCCUGCCCUUGGGUAUGAGUCACAAAAGACACGGGGAAUGACUUGCCCUUGGGUGAGGUCCCAAAAUAGUCAGUAUUAUAUUGAUCAGGUAUCUUAGGGAGCAUUAAUAUCUGAUGUGUAGAUUGGUGGGAGUUAUCAGUUUAUCAGUUAAUGGUUAUAAAAUGUUUAUCAUGCAUGCUCUUAAACAUUUAAUUCAAGGUUUUUAAGGGUAUGCUUAAGAUGGUUAUAAACUUUCCUACUGAGUUGUGAAGUCACCCUAUCCCUUCCACCUCUAGAUGCAAGUCAGAAGAACCAUGCAGGAAAUAAUGCUUGAGCAAUGCUUUACUAUGAUUGGAUGUUGUUUGCCCCCAUUGAAAGUCUUUUGAGACCUUGCCUUUUGUAUCAAAAAUAGAAUCUUUUUGUGGGAAUGAUAUAAUACAUAUAUAUAUAUAUAUAUAUUUGUUAGGUACACUUGUAGUAUAGGCUACCCGUAGUGAACAAUGGGAUUUUGGUAUAUGUAAAUUAAUGUAGUACAAGUUUCUUUUGUGAAACAAAACAUAUCUUGUUAACUAAUAGUCACAAAGUUUAAUACAGGAUGUACUCUUUUUAACAAGUUUUGCGUAUCCUCUGUUUGCACAAAAUCAAGGAGGAACUCAACAUUUAAAUUUUUGAGAGCAAUUAUACUUUAUUUGAGUAUCAAUUGUUUAGUUUGAAGAAUAACAAAAACCAGGGUGUGACAAAAGUUUCCUUCCCUUUGAGGUUGCCUUCCUUGGAUUCAUGAGUUCAUCUGUUUAAAUUAUCGUUGAGAUGGCUGGUAAGCAAGUUGUUGAAAUUUUGGGCAAUCCCUCCCAAGAUGUCCCACUUCACCAGAUUCAUAACAUCUCCUUGGUCCCUUGGUCAUAUCUGUAGUCUCACUAUACUGCUCUUGUUUUCUAGGUUGUUGGGGAUGAGACACUUUUUGGCGCUUAAAAUCUUGUUCCCAUUUUAUUGAACCACCAAACCUAGAAUUUUUACUUCUCAACCUUUGAGCUUCCUCCAUUUCCCUUUCUCUAACCAAAGCCCUUGCCACAACCUCACUGUAAGUACGAAACAUGAAGGGAGCGACCUGUGCUCUAAUGUUCAAUCUCAGGCACUGCCAUUGUAACACCUAGUACUAAUGAAUUAAAUAGGCAAUAAUGAUUAUUUUAGUACUUAACUUUAAGCUUGCUUAAUUAGAUGUUAAAACUAGUUUAGUGCUAAUCAUAUUUAAUUAUGAAUUAAACUUUGAUUAUGGUUAAGUGGGAUUAGUUAAUGACCUAAG